rnacentral:rRNA from 1 species
AUUGAACGCUGGCGGCAUGCCUUACACAUGCAAGUCGAACGGUAACAGCACUUCGGUGGCUGACGAGUGGCGAACGGGUGAGUAAUACAUCGGAACGUGCCCGAGAGUGGGGGAUAACGCAGCGAAAGCUGUGCUAAUACCGCAUACGAUCUACGGAUGAAAGCAGGGGACCGCAAGGCCUUGCGCUCAUGGAGCGGCCGAUGGCAGAUUAGGUAGUUGGUGGGAUAAAAGCUUACCAAGCCGACGAUCUGUAGCUGGUCUGAGAGGACGACCAGCCACACUGGGACUGAGACACGGCCCAGACUCCUACGGGAGGCAGCAGUGGGGAAUUUUGGACAAUGGGCGAAAGCCUGAUCCAGCCAUGCCGCGUGCAGGAUGAAGGCCUUCGGUUGUAAACUGCUUUUGUACGGUAACGAAAAGGUACGUUUUCUUAAUAAAGAAGGACUCAUGACGGUACCGUAAGAAUAAGCACCGGCUAACUACGUGCCAGCACG